rnacentral:rRNA from 1 species
CUACGUGCCAGCAGCCGCGGUAAUACGGAAGGUCCAGGCGUUAUCCGGAUUUAUUGGGUUUAAAGGGAGCGUAGGCCGUGGAUUAAGCGUGUUGUGAAAUGCAGGUGCUCAACGUCUGCACUGCAGCGCGAACUGGUCCACUUGAGUGUGCGCAACGCAGGCGGAAUUCGUCGUGUAGCGGUGAAAUGCUUAGAUAUGACGAAGAACUCCGAUUGCGAAGGCAGCUUGCGGGAGCACAACUGACGCUGAAGCUCGAAAGUGCGGGUAUCGAACAGGAUUAGAUACCCUGGUAGUCCGCACGGUAAACGAUGGAUGCCCGUUGUCAGGCUGUUUCAGCCCGGUGACCAAGCGAAAGCAUUAAGCAUCCCACCUGGGGAGUACGCCGGCAACGGUGAAACUCAAAGGAAUUGACGGGGGCCCGCACAAGCGGAGGAACAUGUGGUUUAAUUCGAUGAUACGCGAGGAACCUUACCCGGGCUUGAAUUGCAGACGAAGGCUUCAGAGA